GGAUUUGUGGGCUACUAUUGGG
rnacentral:siRNA from 1 species